AGAAAAAAAGGGGGCUUACCAGGUUUAACAACUUCACCAGGGUCUGAUUUGAUGAGAAGCUGCCUGUUGUCCAGAUGUGUAAGAACAAAUUGGAACCCACAUAGUGCUUCGGUCAGAGACAAGGUGUGCUCAUAGAAGAGAUCUUCACCCUUUCUUUUGAAUUUGGAGUGAUCCUUCUGCUGGAGGACGAAUACAAUGUCUCCAGUGACAGUAUCAGGCUGCGAGUAACAUAACACAUCAGAAUAAUUUUCAAAUCAUAAAAAAGUAACCUCUACAUCUUAUCACACCGAUGCUUAAACAAGCAUACCGCUUCAUCAGCUUCACCAGGGAAGGUGAUCUUCUGGUUGUGUUGCAUCCCCUUCUCAACAUGAACCUCAAGAACCUUCUUCUCUUGAAUGACCUUCUCACCCUUGCACCCUGGACAGCGGUCCUUCUCAUUGAUGCUCUCUCCAGUCC
rnacentral:lncRNA from 1 species